rnacentral:rRNA from 1 species
ACGCUCGACACCUACGGGAGGAGCAGUGGGGAAUAUUGCACAAUGGGGGAAACCCUGAUGCAGCGACGCCGCGUGAGCGAAGAAGUAUCUCGGUAUGUAAAGCUCUAUCAGCAGGGAAGAAGAUGACGGUACCUGACUAAGAAGCACCGGCUAAAUACGUGCCUGCAGCCGCGGUAAUCUGAGCGGGCUGGCAAGGC